UACAGAGGUCUCAAGCGUUGUUCGGAUUCAUUGGGCGUAAAGGGUGCGUAGGCGGCGCGGUAAGUCGGGUGUGAAAUCUCGGAGCUUAACUCCGAAACUGCAUUCGAUACUGCCGUGCUUGAGGACUGGAGAGGAGACUGGAAUUUACGGUGUAGCGGUGAAAUGCGUAGAUAUCGUAAGGAAGACCUGUGGCGAAGGCGGGUCUCUGGACAGUUCCUGACGCUGAGGCACGAAGGUCAGGGGAGCAAACGGG
rnacentral:rRNA from 1 species